UGCUGUUGUGCCCCAAUCCCUUCCAGCCGCAAUUCCAUUUCAAAGCCAACGCUGCCAGAGCCACCCAAAUCGGUAGGACUGGAGAAAUGCAGACCCAGCGAUCCACGGUGCUCGCCGAAGCAGCGGCCCGCGGCUUCGUGGCAUGGAGAUGAUCUACGAUUUCUCUGUUUAAGGAAGACUGUAGCACUCUGGGUCCCUCUGAGCACCAGGAUAGUCCUGGUACAUGGUAGGAAGUCACCCUUAAAGAAGGUGGUUUGAUAGAGACACCCCACCACCGGCAGACUUCGUGCUUCCGUUUCCUUCUAAUAAUUGGGACUGGGACAAUCUCUUCCGACUAGUAGGUAUGGAGUUAAGGGUCGAGGUUUUGGGACAUUAGGAGGUGAGUCAAGUGGAUGAUUGUUCCCCAAGUGCAGAAGAACGCUGAGCAAGCAAGGGUCACCCAAGGCUGGGACUUAAGGCUCACAGAGAGCAAUAGGAGCCACCUAGACUUACAAAUCCAUGCCAAUCCCUUUUCAAAAACACCAGCCAGGAAGCACAGCCUGGAAUGACCAAAGACCCCGUUGGGGAGUCAAGCCUAGUGAUUAGUCCAGUUGUGUAUCCCGAAGGGCUGCUGUUUAGGCUCCUGCCUGGUGGCUGCUCAAUACUUGGAUUCCUCAGAGGCGCACUUAUUGGAGCCCUCACGCAGGUAAAAUGCAGCGCCAGGAGGUGGCUGAUACAUGGGAUUUUUCUCCCCCCACAAACACUUUCCCUUUAGUUUCUCCCCCUGAGCUCACAACUCUCAGGAUUUAGGUCCCCUCUCGCUGUUCAGAAGCCGCCAAUGACUCCUAAUAUGCCUUCUUUCUGUGUUUCUUCUGCAUAGAACCUGGAAUAGGGACUAAUAGACUGGAAUCGGAGCACCUGUGUUAAAUCACACCCAUCAAGGCGCAGUCAGGUGAUCUAAGGCCUGCGUGACCUCUCUGUGCUUCAGGUACCUCCCUCAUACAGGAGACUGAUGCUGUCUGCUUCAUUGUGAGGCUAUUCAGGGAAUAUGUACUGAGAGUCUGCAAGACAGCUGCAGUUUGCCACUCCCAUCCAGAUCCUGGGCGCAUCUGUGCACCCCACUGACCAUCGGAAGGGCGAAUAGUGAGCAGAGCUCUGGUCAGUGGAGCCACGGGGAAACUGAAUCAGAACAGCAACCUCAGGACUGAGUUCUGAGCAGAGCCUGAGAGUUGUUACCAUGCUGUAUUGAGGAGUCAGGUGUGUCAGGCAUCCUGGCAAAGGUGGUCUUUGAAAUGAAGGAGUUGAGGUGAUGGGGCCCUGGGGCAGCCACAGAAAGGCAUUUCACUCUGUAACAAGCAGGGUUCUGUCAGGAGUUGUGGGUGAAGUACCUGAUGACACUUGUAAACCCUGCUCUGUGGUCCCAAUGAUCCCCCCAUCUCUGUUGCCAUCAGAGUGACAGCCUUAAAAUGAGUGUGACUUUGAUUUUUUUUUUAAAGAUUUAUUUAUUAUAUGUAAGGACACUGUAACUGUCUCCAGACAUACUGGAAGAGGGCAUCAGAUCUCAUUAUGGAUGGUUGUGAGCCACCAUGUGGUUGCUGGGACUUGAACUCAGGACCUCGGGAAGAGCAGUCAGUGCUCUCAACCACUGAGCCAUCUCUCCAGCCCGGGACUUUGACUCUUGCCAAGAAUGGGAAACAGACUUGAAAGUCAACUUCCUACCCCUUGGCCAUGGGAGUACUCUAGCUAUGGUGUAACUGAGGGGGGCCGACUGCCUGGGUGCAUGCCUGUGAGUCCCAGCACCUGGGAAGCUGAGGCAGGAAGACGGAGAGCUGGAGGCCAGCCUGGGCUGUGCUGCAUGUCUAGUAGCAAGGCAGCCCAGGCUAGACUCUUAUCUCAAGGGGCAAAAACUAAGGAAGGUGGGGGCACCAACUAACAAAAUAGGAAUAUUACUUUUUUUUUCCUGGGGAUUCUGGAAAAUUUCCAGAAAAUCCGAUGUCCCUUUUUAUUCCUUUUGUGAUCCUUGGCAAUUAUUAACUGUCAGGAGAUUGGAGACAUUGCUUAGCUACAGAUGAUUAAAGACUCAUGGCACCUUAACUUAGCGUAGAUCUAGCCAGUUUGAACUGGCCUCCCAGAAAAGAUACUUUGGCCUUUAGAUCCUUUUGGCCAGCUCUUCUCUGAAACAGGGAAAGGAAGAAGUUUAGCCGGGUCACUGAGGUAGAACUUGGGGGUGACACAGAGGAACCUAAGAAGAAAACCCAACUAUAAGCAGCUAGAAGGGAGCAGGGUGGUGUGGCGCACAGCUUUAAUCCUGGCAGAGGCAGGCGCAUCCGUGCAAGUUCAAGGUCUACAGAGCUGGUGGUCUACAGCACGAGUUCUAGGACAGCCAGGGCUACCCUGCAUAGGAAAACAGAGAAAAGGGAAGGAAAUAAUACCACCAGGGACUGGCGAACAGUAAAAGGAAGCUGAGAAAAAUUGGGAGAUCACUGGGAGGGGGCAAAUGAGGGGAAUGGAGGCAGAUACAAUCAAAAUACUUUAUAUAUGUGUCUUUUAUCAUACCUGUAUCUUGGGCUUUAGAAACUGCUAAUUUGAGUUUUAUUACUCUUAAGCCACAGUACAUGUCUGAAUAUCUUAGGUCCAAUAGACGGAACUGGUUUUCUUGACAAGGGUUCCCAAACAAUGUGUCUGAUUCUUCCACAUUUGCAGGGAUCGCAUUUGGAUGCAUGUGCAAGCUGUGCUGUAGCCACCUCAGGUCCUGAAUCUUUAGGACUUGCUGGAGCUCAUUGCUGAUCUAUUUUGGCAGGUACGGGAUACUCAAAGUAUUUAUCGUUCUCCUUGCUGUAUACAAUUGGUUCUAUUCUUUUGUAUGACUCCAAGAGGUUAAGUUACAUGUUCCUCUGAUGUUUGUGAUCCUGUGCGUCUAGCUGCCUCCGUAGUGUCACUGAUCUUACCUGAGCUCUCAUACUCAUUCUCUCUCACUUCUCUCCCCUCCUCCUGGUCCUCUUGCUUCCCUCCAGCCUCCUUUAGAACUCAUUAUCUUUUAGAGUAAUACCACCCUUAACCAGUAGUUUAACUCCCCACUCCCUCAAAGGGGACUCAUUUGUCUCACUAGUGCUUAUACAUGUGUUACUGUAAUAAAGUAAGUUUUUUAAAUGUAAAUUUUUCAUUGUGCAGUUAUAUGUAAGCAAUAAAACAAAAAUAGCAUUGC
ensembl:processed_transcript 4933439C10Rik RIKEN cDNA 4933439C10 gene